rnacentral:rRNA from 1 species
UGCCAAGCAGCCGCGGUAAUUCCAGCUCCAAUAGCGUAUAUUAAAGUUGUUGCGGUUAAAAAGCUCGUAGUUGGAUCUCGGCGGGCAGGGGGUGGUUCGCUCUUCAGCGCUACUGCCCCGCUUUGCCCGUGUGAUUGGCGGAGGUUUCGGGGUGCUCUUCGUUGAGUGACUCGGAGCGCCGUCAGGUUUACUUUGAAAAAAUUAGAGUGCUCAAAGCAGGCUUUUCACGCUUGAAUAUUCGUGCAUGGAAUAAUGGAAUAGGAACUCGUUUCUAUUUUGUUGGUUUUCGGAAAUCGAGUUAAUGAUUAACAGGGACAAUUGGGGGCAUUAGUAUUCAGACGACAGAGGUGAAAUUCUUGGACCGUCUGAAGACUGACUACUGCGAAAGCAUUUGCCAAGAGUGUUUUCAUUAAUCAAGAACGAAAGUUAGAGGUUCGAAGGCGAUCAGAUACCGCCCUAGUUCUAACCAUAAACGAUGCCAGCUAGCGAUCUGCCGAGUUUUUUUUGUAGGCUCCGCAGGAAGCUUUCGGGAAACCAAAGCUUUUGGGUUCCGGGGGAAGUAUGGUUGCAAAGCUGAAACUUAAAGGAAUUGACGGAAGGGCACCACCAGGAGUGGAGCCUGCGGCUUAAUUUGACUCAACACGGGAAAUCUCACCAGGCCCGGACACUGGAAGGAUUGACAGAUUGAGAGCUCUUUCUCGAUUCGGUGGGUGGUGGUGCAUGGCCGUUCUUAGUUGGUGGAGUGAUUUGUCUGGUUAAUUCCGAUAACGAACGAGACUCUGUCCUGCUAAAUAGUUGGGUCGUCCUUCGUGCGAUCCAAGUUCUUCUUAGAGGGACUGGCUGCGUCUAGCAGCACGAGAUUGAGCAAUAACAGGUCUGUGAUGC